GGGGGUUUUGAUAACCCCCGCAAAUGUCAUCAAUUUUUAUUAGUUAAGGGGGUUUUUAAUAACCCCCGCAAAAUUUUCAUUGAUUAACUCUGAUUUCACUCUCACUCACAGAACAGAACUCGUUCUCAGUCUCACUCUCACACAAGAACUCGUUCAACCAUGGAAGCUCACGAUUGCAAGCGAUUUCCACUGAUUUUUUCUCGCUUUCCACCGAUUUGAUCUCGUUUUGCAUCGAUUUGAUCUCGUUUUCCACCGAUUUCAACCUUCCCCGAUUUCACCGUUCGCUUCCAUUUCCGUGGCAACAACCACCGCACGCCGUCGUAGCAACAGCCUCCUCCGCCGUCGUUCUCUUUGUGAUUUUCUCAUGGAUGCAUCCCUCAGAGACUCAACAACCUCUAAUCCGUCGCAUGCUGCAUUCUCCGGUUAUCAUAUUUGUUGAUAACUAAGGCGCGGAUAUCAUUUUGGGUAUUUUGCCAUUUACGAGGGAGCUUCUUCGCUGUGGGGUUCAGGUUGUACUGGCUGCUAAUGACUUACCCUCCAUCAAUGAUGUGACUUACCCUGAGCUACUUGAAAUCAUAUCAAGGUUAAAGGAUAAAGAAGGAGGUCUCAUGGGUGUUAGCACUUCAAAUCUUGUAAUUGCCAACUCUGGAAAUGAUUUACCUGGCAUUGAUCUUAAUAAGGUGUCAGAGGAGAUUGCUUUCCAUGCAAAUGAUGCAGAUCUUUCCUUUUAACACUGCAAUUUUUUUGCAAGUAAGGUCUAUGCUUGUUCUUGAUAACUGGAGUAUUUGCUUACCUGCAUUCUUGAGGAUCUGAAGGAGGUUCGUUUUCUGCUUUAGUUAGAUUAUCUUCCUUCGCAUGUGAGAAUUUGGUGAAAGAAUCCUCCACCCUUGACUCGGGUCAGAAACAGCUCAAUUUACACAAAAGAGCUGUCCAUAGACUUUCCGAGUUUGAAGGUCAUAAUUCAUUGCUAUGAGUUUUGUUCUUUUGCUGAUAUCUGACUGCUUUUUUCUUUUUCCUUGAAAGUGAGCGAAUGGAACAAUUUAAACUUAGUACUUCAAGAAAAUGUUUUGAAAUAUUUUUGCUUGGCUUAUUUUUUUAAUAGCUUUAGCUUAUGAGUCGCAAUGUCACAUUUGUAAGUGCUUUUCAUUGUUCAAGACUAUGUGUGCGUUUCGGUAAACAACUUAAUUAAGUGCUUAUAAGUUUAGGUAGUAUUUGAGUAAGAUUAUGACCUACCUAUGGUUUCAUGAUUUGGUCAGCUGAUGUGUGUUUAGGUAGUGCAUGAUGUAAACUGGACCAUUUUCGUUUUAUAAACAUGAUGUUGAUUAUUUUUGUGAACUAUUGGAUUGGUAUGGCUAAAGCAAGGAAUUGUUCAAAAAUGCUUCUGAUCCUUGUCUUAAUGCAUUAGCUUCUUAAUAUUAUCUACACUAUUCAAUGCCUUCAUUAAUAUAUAUAACUGGCUAUUUUGGAUUGAGGCAUUUGGUUUCUUUUUGUGAUGGUGCUUGGUGUGAUUGUAAAGGUCAUGUGUGAUAUUUUAUGGGGAUGGAGCUCUCAUGUUGCAGCACUUUGGAUGGGUUUUUCAACAUACUACUGUGGCUUUUAGGCUGGUUCUGUUAAGUGCAGGAUGCUGAAGUGGAUUCUUACUUGUUGGGACUGUCAAUAUCUUUACUGUUUUAUUUUCUUUUUGGCUUUUAUAACUGGUUGUAGUCUCAUGCUGCACUGGUUGUCAAGGAUGCUGAAAGUAACCUUUGUGUAUUUUAUUUCUAUAUUAUAUACCCGUGAUGCAUUGAAGACCUUCAAGGAACUGAAAGUAUAUAUUCUUUAUAUGAUAAUCCAAUUUCUAAAUAGUCAACUACUUUAUAUUUCACAAUGUAUCAGGGUGUAAAUAUGGUUUGCUUCCAUUUACAUCUUUGCCUUUUAUCUUGUGUUGGAAUUAUAUAUGCCAAUAAUCAGGGAAUGAUUUUCUUUUUAAAUCGUACUUUUUUCUUUGAAUUAUACUUUAAUACAGUAAGUUCGGGGAUUGUUAAAAAGUAAUAGGCCUGCUUAUGCUGUAUGACCAGCUUCUUUCAAUUUCUAAAGUAUAAGUAGAUACUCAUUGGCUUGGAUAAUGUCAUUAUACUUAACCUUUUUCUUUCAGAUUGUAAAAGUCAUGAGCACUUGGGUUUGAUCUUCUACUGUAUAUAGUUGCUCCUACAUACUUAUAUGCUCUUAGGGAUUGUUAUAACCUAGAAGAAUCAAAGACACUUGCCACUUACAAAUCCUUUACUUGUUCUGAAUGCUUCUGUUUACUGCUUAGAAUUGUUCAAAUAAUCACCUGGCAGAUAUAGAUCAGAUCCAAAUGGCCUAAGUUUAUAUAGCUGUUGUCUGUAGGACAUAGAGCCCAUUUGGCUACAAUAAGUACUCUUUGGAUUAUAAUUUAUAUCAAAUAUUUAAGAAGGACUUAGAGUUAAAUAAUUUAUCGACACUAUUUCCCUUGGAAAGCUUGGGUAGGUCGUGGAUUAUGGGUUCAGCUGCUGUUCCACAAAUGCAUAUUGUCUUCAGUUAUUUUCUGGUUAAUUUAUUUUAUUUUCCUCCCCUGAAGUUUUGAGUUUAUCUUAUUCCAAUUUUUAUUUCAGAGAUCUGGGCAGUCAAGGUUUGAAAGGUCUCAUAAGCAAUCAGAUUAGUCUUUUGUCAGACUUGGUAAGCCUAUUCCAGACUCAGAGAAGAGAAAAAUGGGUGGAAACAGAAAUCGAAAGCUGAACAUGAAGGCUGAAGGAUCAGGUAUUAAGAAGAAUGAGAAUGAGGUCACUUGGCACAGUGGAUCAAUGAAGAACUGCCGAUGGAGCUAUGGUAAGCUUUUCAGCACCAUGGGGAUACCCGUAGCUGCGACUGCAACACAGAAAAGGAAGACAACGAAAACAACACAACUGAGAAGAAUAAAUGAUAACAGAGCAGCAAUAUUAACUUCAACAAGGUCGGGCACAUACCAGAAAAGUAUUAGGAAUGUUAAUUAUAACAAUGGUCGAAUGUUAGGAUUAGCUUAAUUGAAGUUAUGUUAUGUUUAUUGAAUUUUUUUGAUGGUAGCAAUCUUUUAUGCUUUAUAGUAUUUAAGUUAAUUAAAUACAUAUUUUGUGUAAUUUGUGUUUCUGAUAGUCUUGGUGGUGCUUUGAAAUAAUUAUGUUUGGUUCUGUCAAAUUGCUUCAAUGCAUGACCUUUGACCAA